AUGAGAUUCAUAUGCAAUUUAAGGUUGCUAGGUUGGUGAAAAUCUGAAAAUUGACCCAAUUUUGUAUAAUAUAUUAGUUUAAGAACAAUAAACAUACAAGCCCACACACACACACACACACAUAUGCACUCCAAAAGUAAACGAGUUGGAAAUGUUUCGUAAUAUUUUCCUCUGAAUCUUCUUUAGCAUGCAUAAGAUUUACCAUUUCCUUUUAAAUAACUUUUAAAAUCAGCUCUAGUCCAUGUUUGCUUAACAAUGUUGUAUCAUUAUAUAAUUUCACAAAGUUUGUGCAUAAUUCUUGCUGAACUUGGUUUGCUUUUCUUUAAUUUAGGUAUGGAGUGAGCAAAUCACGGUUCGACCAAGUCUUCAACGAUGAAUUGAGUCAGAUCAUUAAGCUACCAGUUUGUUGUUUGGCACUGUAAAUGUACAAUCGGAAAAA
rnacentral:sRNA from 1 species